UUUUUUUUUUUUUUUUUCCAACAGAAAAGGACGAAAAGGUCUCUUUCUAAGUAGCGCAGUGAGGUAGGGAGCAGAGUAGUUAGAAAUGAGCUUAAGUCACUCAUACCAUCUGAAGUGUCCCAGGCUAACUCUGAUCAAUCGGGGUUCCCAUUUGACCUGACCCCCAUGAGAUGUGUGUUAAAUUGCUGGGCUUAAGGUGGGUGACAUCAAAGCAAAUGAGCAGCAGCAGAUGGAGAGCAUGAGGCUAUCUCACAUUUUAGCACUCAUCAGAUCAAAAGAGAAGGGUACAAAAUGAACCGUGGUGUCUUGGAUUGGAUCCCAGAACAAAGAGUAUUAGUGGAAAAGACAGCGAAAUCCAAAUGUUUGCAGCUCAGUUAAUAGUAUUUUCCGGAGUUCCCAUCCUGGCUUAGUGGUUAAUGAACCCGACUAGUAUCCACAAGGACACGGGUUCAAUUCCUGGCCUUGCUCAGUGAGUAAAGGAUCCGGUGUUGCCGUGGGCUGUAGUGUAGGUGGCAGAUGCAGCUGGGAUCCCAUGUUGCUGUGGCUGUGGUGUAGGCUGGCAGCUACAGCUCUGAUUCAACCCCUAGCCUAGGAACCUCCAUACGCUGUGGGUGUGGCCCUAAAAAAUCAAAAGACAAAAAAAAAAAAAAAAAAAAAAAAAAGGUAGUGUUUUCCCAAUGUCUAAGUUUUGAGAAAUAUAUCCUGCUAAGUAUUGUGUUAACGUGAGAGAAAACGAGAUGAAGUGUUGGCAGGAACUCUUGUGCUACCUUUCCAAGUUUUCUCUAAAUCUAAAAUUAUUACAAUAAACUGUAGGUUGUAUAGCAAAAUAGUAAUAAUCAUAAUUAAAAAGGUAACAAGAAGAGAGAUGAGAGAGAUAGCAAGAAUGGCAGUUCUUGGUUCCUCUUCAGCUCUUGGAUUAUUACAGAAGAAAAAUAAAAUCUAAAAUAAGAUUAUCACUCAAUAACAUAUCCCAUCAACAUACACAGAAAUUAUAACAUCAACAAUUUCCAAAAUUGCCAAGGUAAAAGACAACCGACUCUUGUUAGGCAGGGUUCCCAUAACCACUCAUGUCCAAGUUCCAUUUUCCUCCCUGAGCUUUGUACAUACACAGUCUAACCCAUCAUUCCACAUUUGUCUAGGAAAUAUAAGUGCUAUGUUCUAGAUCCUAAUGAAUUAUGUAAUUGAGAACCCACAGUAUACACCAGCCAUUAUUCAGAGCAUGCAUAAGGUUUGCUGACUGUUUAUUUACAAGUAAGAGAAAAUAUAAAAUUGGCCCUAUAUUCAACAAUUAAAUAGAGGUGUAAUGUUUAUCAUGUCCCAAUUCAACUAAGAAAAAAAUAAAAUGUACACCUUGCAAAAGGAAAUCCCUUUUAUAUGAUCUUUCUGAGUUUCCUAACUGCUCUAUGCUUUGGUAUCUUCAUCCCCAAAUCCCCAAAAUUGGAGCUGAUAGAUUUGCCAAAAUGAUUAAAUGAGGUAAUACAGGCCCAUUCCUAAUACUAAGUAUUCAGGAACAUUUCAUAAGGGUUUCGUCAGUUGGAACCCCAGUGCUAUUGACUCAAAACCUCUUGGUAAAAGCAGAGAGUAAGAGAUGGGAGUGGGUCUAAAUGCCAGGCCCUUAAGCACUCUGUGUGUCUUCUAAAGAGCAUAAAACUGCUGCUAAAUAGAAUUGGCUACAUGUUGCAAGCCAAUAUACAUGGGUGGACAUACGAUGAGGCCAAAUUAGAAUUGAACAAAAUUUAGCAUGCAUUCUGAAUGCUGAUUUAUGACAUAUUUUUCCAUGUUUGUUUCAAUCUUGAGGUAUGCUGUCAAGCUAAUAGAUGCUGGCAGUGCAAGGCAUAAUAUGCCCAUGUAAACCUGAGCUGACAACUGAAUAGAUAAUCUAUCCUAUGUCUGUUGCUUGUUUGGGACAAUUUGUAACAGAGAAUUUAGAGGGUAUAGACUCUGUAUUCUCUCAAAAUAAGAGAUGUUGCCAAUAUCCUGCUUGGAAACUUCAGCAAUAGGUGUUUGGCUUCUUGGAUGGGUGGACACGCUUGGUCUUGGAAGUCACCUCUUCCCAAAUGAGAGCCUUGGGGGGGCCUCUUACCUCCAGGGACAGCAUCACAGCUUUUACCACCACUAACGGGCAGACACGAUCCUGUCCCUCCCUAAAGUGCCACUUCCUUUUGGGAAGGCAAAAGCGGUGUGGCCAUGAUUAGCUCAGCAUCCGUGGGCAGGAUGGAAGCAAUACUGGGAAAUGCAGAGGCACCAGCAAUUCAAAUACUCUCUUCCCAUCUUGUUUUUGUUCCGAGAUCCGCGAGCACUGCCUUAAUGUGCUAUCUGCUUAAUCAAUUCUGCCAUCUAGUGGGCACUUGCCAUCCUACCAUUUUUUCUUGUGGGUUUUCCUGAUCUGAUACAUUUGAGGGACAGCUUGCUGUGCAAAAUAAGUGGGGCGCCAGUUGGUAGUGGGUGGGGAAGUGGGGGGAGGGAAACCGUAACCCUCCCCUAAGAAAAUAAUCGUUGGAUUAAAAAAAAAGGAGAGCUUCCUGGGGCCUUACCUCCAGAAAACCAAGCAGGUAGGAGUCACGCUGGGCGGUGUGGCUUCAGAUCAGCAGAGUGCAGCAGGCGCAGAGACCACCUGUUAAGUGAAAAUCCCCAAAUCUUCAAAGACCUUCCAAAGCCAAAAACCUGUGAUGAAAAUCCUCCUGGGUUUCAACCUUCUUUGAAGGCAACCCCCUUGUUAGCCCUGCCCCCUCCGUUCUCUGAGAGCUGAGUGUGCUCCCCUCUGGGCUCCAUGCUGACAUUUUUUCAAGAAAAAGAAAGGUUAUUUGUUCUUCUGCAGACACACGGGAAAGAUAUAGGAUUACCUCUAACUCUACACCUUUUUGAGAAAGGUAAAAGCAAACAACCUCUUUGCUUUCUAACAUAGUUUAUCUACCUUAGGUCUGGAAACUCUGGUAUUAGUGAAUUGCCAUAUUUUAAUCAUCAAAUUAAGACAAUGUACUAGUAAAACUGUUAUCUCACAAUUGAGACUGUCAUACCCUUUAGAGAACAGGUAUAGAGAUCUCUGGGAUGUACUAUUAAGUUGAGAAAAAUAAUUAUUUCCAUGACUAAUGAAGUAUUUCCAGAAUACUGAUUGAAAAAGCAAGCAAUGGAAGCUUUAUUCAAGAAUAAAAAUAAAUUUCCAUGACAAACCAAAAUACUAGGAUGGCACAGCUUUUAAAUAAACAAACAGAAUUCAAGACAAAAUUUUUCAUUUGUGUUACCAUUGACCUGAGAACAACUUGAAAGAUUUCCCCAAGAACCAGUAUGCUGAAUGCUGCAAAAUAGAAAAUUUCACAAUAAUUUUCCUUUUUAUAAAAUAAAUACAAGUUCCUGGUGGAACAUUCUAUAAAGUACAAAUUGAAAAAUAAUAAUCAUGUUCACCACUCUCCUGAUUUAAGUAAUGCUGACAUACAUACUUUGUACUAAACUUUUGACUGUUUUUUAUUGAGGUGGUUCUCUGUCGUUUCUUCUGACUUUCCCUUGUGGUUAUCAAUCAUUUCCUUAUGUUGUUUAUAAUUUUUAUCGUGAGCUCAUUUUAGUUGGUAUCAUCUUAUUGCUGCUGUCGUUGUUUACAGCCUGUUCUUCCUGUGGAGGUCCUGUACGCUCUGCAUUAUGGCAGAGUCCCCACGUUUGCUUUCACAGAAUGCCCUAGAGAUUUUGUUAGUCUAGGACUAGAUAGUCCAUUAAUUUCUCUACUUGGGAAUCAUACACAACACGGCUGCGUAAGUUUGGACCCUCUACUUGAGGUUUUUAUUUCUCAUGGGAGAUUUAUUUAUUCAUCCAGGAUGUAAGUAUUCUUGACUUUUCCCAGGCUGUUCUUUAAGAAAGGGGUAGCCUUUCCAGGCUUUUGGCUUUAUCUUCCAUGCCUCUGUAUUUGAUUUCAUGGAUCUUUAUUCGAUUGUCAGUAUCCCAAGACUUAAUUCAUAUGCUUACCCUUACACUUGCCUAAGUUAAACCUCUCCUUCAUUCUGCAACUAGAAAUUUUCUUGUCUUUUUUUCUACCUCAUUUUUGUAUUUUUACUAAAACAACACAAAAUAAUACUGUUAUAUUUUAUAUAGCAGUUCAUGAAUUUUCGUUAAGGGGAAGUGGUUCAUAUUAGGUCACUCUGCCAUAUUGCUGGAACUCAAUUCUUUUUCUGUCUCAUACAGUUGAAAUGGUAUUCUUUGUUCUUACACCAAAUUACUUCUUAAAUUAGAGGAAAAAAUAAGUCAUGUCAUUCAACCCCUUCCAAGCUUCCAAGGUCAGAAUCUAAGUCCUGCUCCAUCUGUCCUUCUCCUUAGACAUACCAGCGCUGCCAUCUGUUUCUAACAUGUUUCAUAUUAUGGUUUUGUGACCAUUGCUUUUUGACAUUUAUUAAGAACCACUAGGGUGUGAAAAAACCAAAAUUUAUCAAUAAGAGACUUAAUAUUCUCAUAAAGCAAGUUGUUCACCACACAAUUAUAGGCAUUAAAUCUUAAGGACAUUUAAAUCCUUGAACUCAAUGUUUUAGAGCUAGGGACUACCUUAAAAACCAUCUCAUUGUAACCAACUUUUAAAAAUGAGAAAACCAAGGUCCUGAGAGUUCAAGGACAAUUUCCUAAGGCCUUUGCAAUACCUCUACCAAAACAGCACUAAGGCUUUGAGUCUACUGUUUGGAAUCAACCCAAUAUUCUAAGGUUAAAAUAAAUAUAUCUUUAAUUAAAUUUACUAAUCUCUUCAUUAAACUUAUGAAUAAUACAUCUUAAAGCAAUUUUCUGGGCCACGUGGACAUUUGUCUAUGCAAUGUAUAACAUUUUUUGUUUUAAUUUUUAACUUUUUACAGUUAAUUCAUCUUAUAUUUAGGUCAAACAGUGUCAUCAUUUUCUUCUUAAAAUUUCAAAAGGAUGAGUGGAAAGGAGUAAAUGGCAACUACUUGUCUUCAUAAAUGAAUACAAGCUAUUUUAUAUGCACAUUUGUAAAUGUUUCCUCAACAUUUUACUAUAUUGUUAAAACCUCUGACUAUAUGAAUUACAUACUUUCCUCCUCUCCUUUUAUUCUUAGUUUUACUUCUGUGUCAUCUGUUUUUCUUUCCAUCUUUUGUUUGUCCCCAUGUGGAUUUUAUGAGAGGCUGGUAUCCUAUAGAGAUGGAAUGAUAGGUAAAGUACACUUCGCUAAAACACUUACUUUCAUACCCUUUAUCCUGCCCUGAAGAAUUCAUGGAUCUCAGUGAGAAAGUUUUCUGGUCACAAGGAUUUUAGGAUAAUGUUUUAUCUUUUCCCCAAGUGACUCAACCCUUUUUUUCAUGAGAACUUGGAGAUAAUUUGUUUAAAACUGUUCAUGGCCAACUUUUUCUCAAUGGACAAAUGUAAUAACGCUAUACAUAUUUCCAUAAUAUGUCAGUGAUACAAAUUUAAUAUUACCAUCAAGGUUUAAAUAGAUUGAUUCUUAAUUCUGAGUAUCUGAAAAGAAUACAUAAACAAUGAUUUUCCCAAGGGCCAAUGCUAAUGCUGGGCUCGAAUGACAAUCCAAAAUUCAUUUGGUAUUUAGAUGAAGGCAGAUAUUAGUUUCUCCCCCAAACACACAACCUCCUGGCAGGCAUUUUGAAUUUACACUCAUUCAAGAGGUGAUAUUUGGGAGGUGCCUUUUUUUUUUUUUUU
rnacentral:lncRNA from 1 species